GAUGAACGCUGGCGGCGUGCCUAAUACAUGCAAGUCGAGCGAACAGACGAGGAGCUUGCUCCUCUGACGUUAGCGGCGGACGGGUGAGUAACACGUGGAUAACCUACCUAUAAGACUGGGACAACUUCGGGAAACCGGAGCUAAUACCGGAUAAUAUAUUGAACCGCAUGGUUCAAUAGUGAAAGACGGUUUUGCUGUCACUUAUAGAUGGAUCCGCGCCGCAUUAGCUAGUUGGUAAGGUAACGGCUUACCAAGGCAACGAUGCGUAGCCGACCUGAGAGGGUGAUCGGCCACACUGGAACUGAGACACGGUCCAGACUCCUACGGGAGGCAGCAGUAGGGAAUCUUCCGCAAUGGGCUAAAGCCUGACGGAGCAACGCCGCGUGAGUGAUGAAGGUCUUCGGAUCGUAAAACUCUGUUAUUAGGGAAGAACAAAUGUGUAAGUAACUAUGCACGUCUUGACGGUACCUAAUCAGAAAGCCACGGCUAACUACGUG
rnacentral:rRNA from 1 species